GAGUUUGAUCCUGGCUCAGCAACGAACGUUGGCGGCAUGGAUUAGGCAUGCAAGUCGAGCGAGAACCAAGAAAGCUUGCUUUCGAGGGGACAGCGGCGAAAGGGAGAGUAACAGGUAGAUACCUACCUCCAGGCUGGGAAUAGCGUCGGGAAACUGGCGGUAAUGCCCAAUAACAUCUACGGAUCAAAGCUCCGGCGCCUGGAGAUGGGUCUGCUCACUAUUAGCUAGUUGGUAAGGUAAUGGCUUACCAAGGCGACGAUGGUUAGCGGGCGUGAGAGCGUGGCCCGUCUCACUGGGACUGAGACACUGCCCAGACACCUACGGGUGGCUGCAGUCGAGAAUCUUCGGCAAUGGACGCAAGUCUGACCGAGCGAUGCCGCGUGCGGGAUGAAGGCCUUCGGGUUGUAAACCGCUGUCAGAGGGAAGGAAAUUUUGACCAAACCUCAGAGGAAGGUCGGGCUAAGUUCGUGCCAGCAGCCGCGGUAAGACGAACCGACCGAACGUUAUUCGGAAUUACUGGGCUUAAAGGGUGCGUAGGCGGCCAUGCAAGUCAGAUGUGAAAUCCCACGGCUCAACCGUGGAACUGCGUUUGAAACUGCAUGGCUUGAGGGAGAUAGGGGUGAGCGGAAC
rnacentral:rRNA from 1 species